rnacentral:rRNA from 1 species
GUCUACGGCCAUGCUACUCUGAACAAGCCCAAUCCUGUCUAAUCUCGGAACCUAAGCAGGGUCGGGCCUGAUUAGUACUUGGAUUGGAAACCCCCCUAGGAAGACCAGGUACUGUAAGCG